GACGAACGCUGGCGGCGUGCUUAACACAUGCAAGUCGAACGGAAAGGCCCUGCUUUUGUGGGGUGCUCGAGUGGCGAACGGGUGAGUAUCACGUGAGUAACCUGCCCUUGACUUUGGGAUAACUUCACGAAACUGGGGCUAAUACCGGAUAGGAUCUCCUGCUGCAUGGUGGGCGUUGGAAAGUUUCGGCGGUUGGGGAUGGACUCGCGGCUUAUCAGCUUGUUGGUGGGGUAGUGGUUUACCAAGGCUUUGACGGGUAGCCGGCCUGAGAGGGUGACCGGCGACCUUGGGACUGAGAUACGGCGCAGACGCCUACGGGAGGCAGCAGGGGGGAGUAUUGCACAAUGGGCGGAAGCCUGAUGCAGCAACGCCGCGUGCGGGAUGACGGCCUUCGGGUUGUGAACCGCUUUCGCCUGUGACGAAGCGUGAGUGACGGUAAUGGGUAAAGAAGCACCGGCUAACUACGUG
rnacentral:rRNA from 1 species